rnacentral:rRNA from 1 species
UACGGGGGGGGCAAGCGUUGUUCGGAAUUACUGGGCGUAAAGGGCUCGUAGGCGGCCAACUAAGUCCGACGUGAAAUCCCAAGGCUUAACCUUGGAACUGCGUCGGAUACUGGAUGGCUUGAAUUCAGGAGAGGGAUGCAGAAUUCCAGGUGUAGCGGUGAAAUGCGUAGAUAUCUGGAGGAAUACCGGUGGCGAAGGCGGCAUCCUGGACCGAGAUUGACACUGAUGAGCGAAAGCUAGGGGAGCAAACGGG